ACGGGUGCGUAACACGUAUGUAACCUACCUUAAUCUGGGGGAUAGCCUCUCGAAAGAGAGAUUAACACCGCAUAACAUUAUCGGACAGCAUUUUCUGAUAAUCAAAUAUUUAUAGGAUUAAGAUGGGCAUGCGGAACAUUAGCUAGUUGGUAAGGUAAUGGCUUACCAAGGCUACGAUGUUUAGGGGAUCUGAGAGGAUGACCCCCCACACUGGUACUGAGACACGGACCAGACUCCUACGGGAGGCAGCAGUAAGGAAUAUUGGUCAAUGGGCGCAAGCCUGAACCAGCCAUGCCGCGUGCAGGAAGACGGCCCUACGGGUUGUAAACUGCUUUUGUACCGGAAUAAACCUUUGUUCGUGAACGAAGCUGAAUGUACGGUAAGAAUAAGGAUCGGCUAACUCCGUGCCAGCAGCCGCGGUAAUACGGAGGAUCCAAGCGUUAUCCGGAUUUAUUGGGUUUAAAGGGUGCGUAGGCGGUUCUUUAAGUCAGGGGUGAAAGACGGUAGCUUAACUAUCGCAGUGCCUUUGAUACUGAAGAACUUGAAUACACUUGAGGUAGGCGGAAUGUGACAAGUAGCGGUG
rnacentral:rRNA from 1 species